GCCUUGGUGGUGGAAUGGUAGACACGCUUGUCUUAGGAACAAGUGCCGUCGGCGUGGAGGUUCGAGUCCUCUCCAAGGUA
rnacentral:tRNA from 1 species